rnacentral:hammerhead_ribozyme from 1 species
AUCCAGCUGACGAGUCUUGAAUGGGAAGAAACGUAUGUCCUGGAU